rnacentral:misc_RNA from 1 species
GAUGAAGAACGUAGCGAAAUGCGAUACGUAAUGUGAAUUGCAGAAUUCAGUGAAUCAUCGAGUCUUUGAACGCACAUUGCGCCCCCUGGUAUUCCGGGGGGCAUGCCUGUCCGAGCGUCAUUGCUGCCCUCAAGCACGGCUUGUGUGUUGGGCCUCCGUCCUCCUCCCGGGGGACGGGCCCGAAAGGCAGCGGCGGCACCGCGUCCGGUCCUCGAGCGUAUGGGGCUUCGUCACCCGCUCUUGUAGGCCCGGCCGGCGCUUGCCGACACAUCAAUCUUUUUUCCAGGUUGACCUCGGAUCAGGUAGGGAUACCCGCUGAACUUAAGCAUAUAUAAGCGGAGGA